UCCAGACUCCUACGGGAGGCAGCAGUCGAGAAUCAUUCACAAUGGGGGAAACCCUGAAGCAGCAACGCCGCGUGGAGGAUGAAGGUUUUAGGAUUGUAAACUCCUUUUGUUAGAGAAGAUUAUGACGGUAUCUAACGAAUAAGCACCGGCUAACUCCGUGCCAGCAGCCGCGGUAAUACGGGGGGUGCAAGCGUUGUCCGGAAUCAUUGGGCGUAAAGAGUUCGUAGGCGGCACGUAAAGUCUGGUGUUAAAGGCAGAGGCUCAACUUCUGUACGGCACUGGAUACUUGCGAGCUAGAAUGCGGUAGAGGUAAAGGGAAUUCCUGGUGUAGCGGUGAAAUGCUUAGAUAUCAGGAGGAACAUCGGUGGCGUAAGCGCUUUACUGGGCCGUAAUUGACGCUGAGGAACGAAAGCCAGGGUAGCAAAUGGGAUUAGAUACCCGAGUA
rnacentral:rRNA from 1 species